rnacentral:rRNA from 1 species
GACGAACGCUGGCGGCGUGCUUAACACAUGCAAGUCGAACGGAAAGGCCCUGCUUUUGUGGGGUGCUCGAGUGGCGAACGGGUGAGUAACACGUGAGUAACCUGCCCUUGACUUUGGGAUAACUUCAGGAAACUGGGGCUAAUACCGGAUAGGAGCUCCUGCUGCAGGGUGGGGGUUGGAAAGUUUCGGCGGUUGGGGAUGGACUCGCGGCUUAUCAGCUUGUUGGUGGGGUAGUGGCUUACCAAGGCUUUGACGGGUAGCCGGCCUGAGAGGGUGACCGGGCACAUUGGGACUGCGAUACGGCGCAGACUCCUACGGGAGGCAGCAGUGGGGAAUAUGGCACAAUGGGCGGAAGCCUGAUACAGCAACGCCGCGUGCGGGAUGACGGCCUUCGGGUUGUAAACCGCUUUCGCCUGUGACGAAGCGUGAGUGACGGUAAUGGGUAAAGAAGCACCGGCUAACUACGUG